AACGAACGCUGGCGGCAGGCCUAACACAUGCAAGUCGAGCGAAGCCUUCGGGCUUAGCGGCGGACGGGUGAGUAACGCGUGGGAACGUGCCCUUUGCUACGGAAUAGCCCCGGGAAACUGGGAGUAAUACCGUAUGUGCCCUUCGGGGGAAAGAUUUAUCGGCAAAGGAUCGGCCCGCGUUGGAUUAGGUAGUUGGUGGGGUAAUGGCCUACCAAGCCGACGAUCCAUAGCUGGUUUGAGAGGAUGAUCAGCCACACUGGGACUGAGACACGGCCCAGACUCCUACGGGAGGCAGCAGUGGGGAAUCUUAGACAAUGGGGGAAACCCUGAUCUAGCCAUGCCGCGUGAUCGAUGAAGGCCUCAGGGUUGUAAAGAUCUUUCAGUGGGAAAGAUAAUGACUGUACCCACAGAAGAAGCCCCGGCUAACUCCGUGCCAGCCGCCGCAGUAACAC
rnacentral:rRNA from 1 species